rnacentral:lncRNA from 1 species
GUCUCCAAUGUACAAACAUAUAUAAGCACAAAAUAAACACAAUAUCAAAAGGGAGGGAGAGAACUAAAACUGCCCUGAAUUUGGAUGAAAUCGCCAGAAUAAUGAAAAUCGGCAUUGUGGGAAAAUCUAAAUGAAGUGCAUGUUUCCGAGCAAACUAAUAAGAAGAUAAACACAAAUAAAUAAGAAGAUAAAAAGAUUACACACACGAAUAAAAAC